rnacentral:rRNA from 1 species
CCUACGGGGUGCAGCAGUAGGGAAUAUUGCUCAAUGGGGGGAACCCUGAUGCAGCGACGCCGCGUGGGUGAAGGAGUGCUUCGGCAUGUAAAGCCCUAUCGGCAGGGAAGAAGCAAGACGGUACCUGACUAAGAAGCCCCGGCUAACUCCGUGCCAGCAGCCGCGGAAUACGGAGGAUGCGAGCGUUAUCCGGAUUUAUUGGGUUUAAAGGGUGCGUAGGCGGAUCGUUAAGUCAGUGGUCAAAUUGAGGGGCUCAACCCCUUCCCGCCAUUGAAACUGGCGUUCUUGAGUGGAAGAGAAGUAUGCGGAAUGCGUGGUGUAGCGGUGAAAUGCAUAGAUAUCACGCAGAACCCCGAUUGCGAAGGCAGCAUGCCGGCUUCCGACUGACGCUGAAGCACGAAAGCGUGGGGAUCGAACAGGAUUAGAUACCCUAGUAGUC